rnacentral:tRNA from 1 species
UAAGUAAUGAAGUAAAAUUUACAUUUAGUUUCGACCUAAAAAUAGAGCUUAAGCUCCUUACUUAA